rnacentral:rRNA from 1 species
UACGAAGGGGGCUAGCGUUACUCGGAAUUACUGGGCGUAAAGGGCGCGUAGGCGGCGUUCCAAGUUAGGCGUGAAAGUCCUGGGCUCAACCUGGGAACUGCGCUUAAGACUGGAAUGCUAGAGGAUGGAAGAGGGUUGUGGAAUUCCCAGUGUAGAGGUGAAAUUCGUAGAUAUUGGGAAGAACACCGGUGGCGAAGGCGGCAACCUGGUCCAUUUCUGGACGCUGAGGCGCGAUAGCGGUGGG